AUUUUAUAUAUUAACAAUUGAUGAAAGCUCUUAACAACAGUAUCAGUUUCCCGGUUUCAUAUGACCGGCAUCUUCCGGUCUUCCCCAUCUCUGCGUAACCCAUCUCCAAACUCAAAACACAGCCCCCAGACUCACCCAAAUCAUAAACUGCAACACCCCAUCAUUGUUCCUUUAACGAUAGAAGUAUGUAAUUGUUUCAAAGAGACCGAAAUCAGUGUUUCGGCGGCUAGGAUUUCAUUGCGAACCCGACUACGGCGGUGAUUUGGGUUGUUGGUUCUGCGUCGGCUAGGGUUUCAGUUUAAAUCCGAAGACAGUGGUGAUUUCAGGUUGUCACUUCGAGGCCCGAAGCGGCAAUCGGAGAUUACGUUCACGAUCUCUCUGCGAUUCUUUCUGCAUGUUUGGUUGAUGAUCCAUUGCUUUCCGAUUCAAAUUGUUUUUAUCAGGUCAAGAUAGUAACUAAUCACAAGAAAUUAGUCAGGGUCUGUGACAUAAUUAAUGAAUAUCUGGAUAUUUUUAUGGCUCGACUUUGGUCCUGGAAAUGAGAGUAUUUAUUAUGCAUCCUUUCUUCAUACGAUUGCUGGAAAUGGGAGCCUAACAGAAUCAGGAUGGUAGCAGCAGCCCCGUUCAACACUCCAAGAGUCCAAGGCAACUCAUUUAGCUUUGUAAUGGACAAGGCUGGAGAUAUAUGUCAAAAUAGGAAAGCAGUUGGGUUGACCCACUACAACUUACAGUCCUUUAUAUUUUGUACAUUAUUUCCUUACCAGUUAUCCUAAUGUGACAACAUGUUCACAGAAAAACAUACCCGCCGCGAAGCGCGGGCGUUAUCUGCUAGUUAGAUCAUAUAGCUGUCCAAAAUCGUAUAUAAAGAGCAUGCUUCUAAUUAUUAGAUCA